GCGGCUGUGGUGUAAUGUGUAGCAUCGCUGUACGGAAAACAGAAAGUGCGGGUUCGAAUCCCACCUGGCGCA
rnacentral:tRNA from 1 species